rnacentral:lncRNA from 1 species
GACAAUAUAUAUAUGAAAGCAUUGAUUUUCUUUCCUUCAAUCAUCUGGUUGGAUCAAUCUUCUUUCCUGCACAUUGAAGUAGUUUCUUGCACAUAAAAACUAGAUGGCCUUUUCAACUUUACAAUAUAAUGUUGGCAUUUAGUGUGAACCUUCAAUUUCGAACUGUCAUUGGCAGUUUGGCAACAAAAGUGCUCUACAAAUAUUUGUCAUUGUUACGGCAGUAUCAUCAACCAAUUUGCAUUUGAAACAAAGCAUCUAGAACCAUAGGCAGAUAAUUUGUUCUUGUAGACAAGAAAAUUGAUCCCAAUAAGGGAA